CAGGCCUAACACAUGCAAGUCGAGCGGGCAUWGCAAUAUGUCAGCGGCAGACGGGUGAGUAACGCGUGGGAACGUACCUUUUGGUUCGGAACAACACAGGGAAACUUGUGCUAAUACCGGAUAAGCCCUUACGGGGAAAGAUUUAUCGCCGAAAGAUCGGCCCGCGUCUGAUUAGCUAGUUGGUGAGGUAAUGGCUCACCAAGGCGACGAUCAGUAGCUGGUCUGAGAGGAUGAUCAGCCACAUUGGGACUGAGACACGGCCCAAACUCCUACGGGAGGCAGCAGUGGGGAAUAUUGGACAAUGGGCGCAAGCCUGAUCCAGCCAUGCCGCGUGAGUGAUGAAGGCCCUAGGGUUGUAAAGCUCUUUUGUGCGGGAAGAUAAUGACGGUACCGCAAGAAUAAGCCCCGGCUAACUUCGUGCCAGCAGCCGCGGUAAUAC
rnacentral:rRNA from 1 species